CAGCAGCCGCGGUAAUACGAAGGGGGCUAGCGUUGUUCGGAUUAACUGGGCGUAAAGGGCGCGUAGGCGGGUUUUUAAGUCAGAGGUGAAAUCCCAAGGCUCAACCUUGGAACUGCCUUUGAUACUGGAAGUCUUGAGUCCGGGAGAGGUGAGUGGAACUGCGAGUGUAGAGGUGGAAUUCGUAGAUAUUCGCAAGAACACCAGUGGCGAAGGCGGCUCACUGGCCCGGUACUGACGCUGAGGCGCGAAAGCGUGGGGAGCAAACAGGAUUAGAUACCCCCGUAGUCCCUGUCUCUUAUAC
rnacentral:rRNA from 1 species